rnacentral:rRNA from 1 species
ACUCCUGCGGGAGGCAGCAGUGGGGAAUUUUGGACAAUGGGCGAAAGCCUGAUCCAGCAAUGCCGCGUGAGUGAAGAAGGCCUUCGGGUUGUAAAGCUCUUUUGUCAGGGAAGAAACGGUGAGAGCUAAUAUCUUUUGCUAAUGACGGUACCUGAAGAAUAAGCACCGGCUAACUACGUGCCAGCAGCCGCGGUAAUACGUAGGGUGCAAGCGUUAAUCGGAAUUACUGGGCGUAAAGCGUGCGCAGGCGGUUUUGUAAGUCUGAUGUGAAAUCCCCGGGCUCAACCUGGGAAUUGCAUUGGAGACUGCAAGGCUAGAAUCUGGCAGAGGGGGGUAGAAUUCCACGUGUAGCAGUGAAAUGCGUAGAUAUGUGGAGGAACACCGAUGGCGAAGGCAGCCCCCUGGGUCAAGAUUGACGCUCAUGCACGAAAGCGUGGGGAGCAAACAGGAUUAGAUACCCCUGUAGUCCCAU